GGUCCACUGGCCCACCAGCUAUGCGCAUGAUCACUGCAUUUAAACAGUUAAAUCACAGACACUGGAGAGAUGUGAUGUCCUUUAUUACUGGCAGGUGUCAGUUGCACAUAGCAGCUGGUACCAGCCGGGUAUGACACAGGCCAUGCCAUACCCACUCACCCGAGCCAUGAGCUCUACUCUAAUGGAAAGAACAUGGAAACCACUCUGCUGUUCUAAUGGUGCCCACUCACAAAAAAGCUAAGUGGACUAUCAUAUCUGAGGAGGUUGUGCCCACUCUCUACAGAUGGUCCAUGAAUGACAAAAUGAAGGAUCGGGUAUGUUGGACUUAAAUAUGUUGGAUUCAAUGUUAUCAAAGGAGAUUAACUGUUGCCAAUAAUGUCUGGCAGCGACCCCGAGCCCACAUUGUCUGGAGAAUGGCAGAAAGAACAGCAUGCUAGACGCCUAGCACCUUCCUGCAUACGUAUGGCGGCCUGACCAGGAAACAGCAAUAAAGUCAACAUAUACAGUGAGCUCCUGGAAGAAAAAAGAGCUCUGCUUCUGUCACAUUAAAUAUAAC